CUCUACGGUCAUGCCACCCUGAACAAGCCCAAUCCCGUCUGAUCUCAGAAGCUAAGCAGGGUCGGGCCUAGUUAGUACUUGGAUGGGAGACCACCUAGGAAGACCAGGUGCUGUAGAUG
rnacentral:rRNA from 1 species